rnacentral:lncRNA from 1 species
GUGUGUCCCUAUAGGGCUCUGUGUGUCUCUAUGGUGCUCUGCAGGUCCUUAUAGGGUUCUGUGUGUCCCUAUGGGUCCUUAUGGGGCUCUAUGGGUCCCUAUAGGGUUCUGUGUGUCCCUAUGGGGCUCUGAGUGUCCCUAUAGGGUUCUGUGGGUCCCUAUGGGGUUCUGUGUGUCCCUAUAGGGUUCUAUGGGUCCCUAUAGGGUUCUGUGUGGCUCUGUGUGUCUCUACGGUGCUCUGCGGGUCCUUAUAGGGUUCUGUGUGUCCCUAUGGGUCCUUAUGGGGCUCUUUGGGUCCCUAUAGGGUUCUGUGUGUCCCUAUAGGGUUCUGUGUGUCCCUAUGGGGUUCUGUGUGUCCCUAUAGGGUUCUAUGGGUCCCUAUAGGGUUCUGUGUGUCCCUAUGGGUCCCUAUGGGGCUCUGUGCGUCCCUAUGGGGCUCCAUGCACCCCUAUGGGGUUUCCGCGUGUCCCUAAGGGUGUCUGUGUGGGGCAGGGCAGGAGGCAGCCCCGCAGUGGGGCGUCGAGGAGGCGGCUGUGGGGCAGUGCCCCAUAACCCCCUUCAACCUGGAGGAGGAGAUGGAGAGCGGCAGCUUCGACCGCGCUGGGAAUUACAGACCUCGCGGGCCCCCCCUGCGCCCCGACCCGUGGCUGGAUGCGCUGCCCUGGGUAUGGGGGCUGUGGGGUGGCUCUGGGGUGAUGUGGGGUGGCUGUGGGGUGAUACGGGGUGGCUAUGGGGUGAUGUGGGGUGGCUAUGGGGUGAAACAGGGUGAUGUGGGGUGGCUAUGGGGUGAUGUGGGGUGGCUAUGGGGUGAAACAGGGUGAUGUGGGGUGAUAUGGGGUGGCUAUGGGAUGAUAUGGGGUGAUGUGGGGU